UACGGAGGGGGCUAGCGUUGUCCGGAAUUAUUGGGCGUAAAGCGCUCGUAGGCGGCUUUGUAAGUUAGAGGUGAAAGCCCGGAGCUCAACUCCGGAAUUGCCUUUAAGACUGCAUCGCUAGAAUUGUGGAGAGGUGAGUGGAAUUCCGAGUGUAGAGGUGAAAUUCGUAGAUAUUCGGAAGAACACCAGUGGCGAAGGCGACUCACUGGACACAUAUUGACGCUGAGGUGCGAAAGCGUGGGGAGCAAACAGG
rnacentral:rRNA from 1 species